UUGAAAUACUUGUCCCUGUGCGAUCAGCGAAGUUAAGCAACGUCGAGCCUGAUCAGUACCUAGAUGGGUGACCGUUUCCGAAUACCAAGUGUUGCAAG